AAGCCUGAUGCAGAGACGCCGCGUGAGGGAUGACGGCCUUCGGGUUGUAAACCUCUUUCAGUAGGGAAGAAGCGAAAGUGACGGUACCUGCAGAAGAAGCGCCGGCUAACUACGUGCCAGCAGCCGCGGUAAUACGUAGGGCGCAAGCGUUAUCCGGAAUUAUUGGGCGUAAAGAGCUCGUAGGCGGUUUGUCGCGUCUGCCGUGAAAGUCCGGGGCUCAACUCCGGAUCUGCGGUGGGUACGGGCAGACUAGAGUGAUGUAGGGGAGACUGGAAUUCCUGGUGUAGCGGUGAAAUGCGCAGAUAUCAGGAGGAACACCGAUGGCGAAGGCAGGUCUCUGGGCAUUAACUGACGCUGAGGAGCGAAAGCAUGGGGAGCGAACAGGAUUAGAUACCCUGGUAGUCCAUGCCGUAAACGUUGGGCACUAGGUGUGGGGGACAUUCCACGUUU
rnacentral:rRNA from 1 species